UACGAAGGGGGCUAGCGUUGUUCGGAAUCACUGGGCGUAAAGGGCGCGUAGGCGGCUGUUCAAGUCGGGGGUGAAAGCCUGUGGCUCAACCACAGAAUUGCCUUCGAUACUGGACGGCUGGAGACCGGAAGAGGUCAGUGGAACUGCGAGUGUAGAGGUGAAAUUCGUAGAUAUUCGCAAGAACACCAGUGGCGAAGGCGGCUGACUGGUCCGGUUCUGACGCUGAGGAGCGAAAGCUAGGGGAGCAAACGGG
rnacentral:rRNA from 1 species